UACGUAGGGUGCGAGCGUUGUCCGGAAUUACUGGGCGUAAAGAGCUCGUAGGUGGUUUGUCGCGUUGUCCGUGAAAACUCACAACUCAAUUGUGGGCGUGCGGGCGAUACGGGCAGACUGGAGUACUGCAGGGGAGACUGGAAUUCCUGGUGUAGCGGUGGAAUGCGCAGAUAUCAGGAGGAACACCGGUGGCGAAGGCGGGUCUCUGGGCAGUAACUGACGCUGAGGAGCGAAAGCAUGGGGAGCGAACAGGA
rnacentral:rRNA from 1 species